GCCGAUGUAGCUCAGUUGGUAGAGCAGUGCUUUCGUAAAGCAAAGGUCAUGGGUUCGAAUCCCUUCAUCGGCUCCA
rnacentral:tRNA from 1 species